CGAGAGGCCCAAGUUGAUAUUUUUCGGCGUAAAGCGUGGUUAGGCCCGACAUUAAUACUAAAGCCGAAUGCCCUCAAGGCUGUUAUACGCAUUCGAAGGUAAGAAGCUCAAAUACGAAAGUAGCUUUAUACACCUGAACCCACGAAAGCUGAGGUACAAACUGGGAUUAGAUACCCCACUA
rnacentral:rRNA from 1 species